ACAUGUGUGUGUGUGUGUGUGUGUGUGUGUGUGUGUGUGUGUGUGUGUGUGUGUGUGUGUGUGUGUGUGUGUGUGUGUGUGUGUGUGUGUGUGUGUGUGUGUGUGUGUGUGUGUGUGUGUGUGUGUGUGUGUGUGUGUGUGUGUGUGUGUGUGUGUGUGUGUGUGUGUGUGUGAUGUCUAGGUCAUGUCGGCAGGAUGGACGACUCGUGCGCACCGAAACAAUUGCUGGCGAGCUGCCUGCCCACCCCCCCCCCCCCCCCCCCCCCCCCAUCCUCGUCACGGCCCGAAGAAGAGGUGGCGAGAUGCGGUGUCGACUGACCUGGCAGACCUCGGCGUGACCACCUGGCUUGAGAGUUGCCAAGAUCGUCCCGGCUGGAGACGAGUUGUGAGUAGCACUCCACCGCCAUGGCACGCUCCUGAUCCUCUUCUCUUUGUCUGUGACGCCCAUUUUGUCCACCCAGAGACCUGAAACGACAUGCCAAAAUCUGAGCUCGUGUUCUCGCUUAAGCUUUCUGACAUUCGCUAUCAUUGCGUACGCAAUGGGGAAGAUCAAGGUCAAGGUCAAGGUCCUGUAUCGGAACAGAGAGGUAGCCGACAAUGUUCUUCCUGCAAGCGCUGGUUCCGCAGUGCCGGAGGUUUGGCGGUCCACAAGUGCCCCAGCUCCCGGACGCUCCCCACGAAAUCGUCCUAGGGUCCAUGCCGGGCGGCGUUGUCUACCAUUGCUGCUCAGGUGAUUCCUCCGCCGCCGUGUGUGCGGCUCGCCCUCUCAUGCUGCAAAGUCCACUGUGGGGCCUGUAGUCGGUGCUGCCGCUCUACUUGUGGAUUCCAAAUCCAUAGCUCCCAAAGAUGGUUCUCUCUUCUUGCCGAUUGAACAUGGUUUCUUGAUCUCUCGGCAGACUGCCGACUUUCUGCCGUCGCUCGUCGUUUCCAUGUUGUCGGCCCCGCAAGGUGACACAUGUCCGUAAUGGCAGUGUUUACCAGGACCAGGACCAGGUUCCUGCAGCAACGGCACAGCUUUCUGCUUUGAGAAUGGUGAUGCAGUUCUGAAGCAGUUAUCUCUAGGACAGGGCUUGGAUCAGAUCUGCUUUGCCUUUGGAAUCCUGCUGGCGUUGUUCUUCGCCUUCUUCAUUUCCGGACUUCUGAUGUAUGUAAUCAAGCACGCUCAGGAGGUCAUGAUGGCUGAAUCUUGCCCGAGCCUGCAGCCCAAGGGCCGUAGGCCCGAGGGCUGCAGGCAAGGGCAAGAUUCAGCCAUCAUGACAGACAGAGCGUGCUUGAUUUGAUUUCUUACAUCGCGAAGCAACAUAUUAGGGAAGGUCAAAGGUCGAAAGGUCGAAAGGUCGAAAAAUUAUUCCCGAAAUGACGUCAAACGGUCCGAACAUUCCCGAAAUGACGUCAAACGGUCCUGAAACUCCCGAAAUGACGUCAAACGGUCCUGAUGGCCUGAUUAUGCCCGCGGCGGGAAGAUCGCCUAUUGGCCAUGGCCCCGGCAACGAUCACGUGUCAUGUAAGAAACUGGUGUUGCGUAUCCGCUACAUCAAGCGCUAAUGUCUGCCAGGCGCAAUGCGUAGACGUGUCACUCUGAGGUGCUAAACCUGACUUCAUGAUGGUGUUGUUCUAGUGUUGAGAUGAUUCUGUAUUCCGCUAUGUUUGUCAGUGUCUUUCAUGUUGCUAUUUUGUUAGUCAUACAGCCCAUAUACACUCAUUAAUGUCAACUUCAGUAGUGCACAUUCCCAGACAAGUAUUCUGCCUGUCACGUGUGUGUGUGUGUGUGUGUGUGUGUGUGUGUGUGUGUGUGUGUGUGUGUGUGUGUGUGUGUGUGUGUGUGUGUGUGUGUGUGUGUGUGUGUGUGUGUGU